rnacentral:rRNA from 1 species
CGUAUGGUUCUAUUUUGUUGGCUUCUAGGACCAUCGUAAUGAUUAAUAGGGACGGUCGGGGGCAUCAGUAUUCAAUUGUCAGAGGUGAAAUUCUUGGAUUUAUUGAAGACUAACUACUGCGAAAGCAUUUGCCAAGGACGUUUUCAUUAAUCAAGAACGAAAGUUAGGGGAUCGAAGAUGAUCAGAUACCGUCGUAGUCUUAACCAUAAACUAUGCCGACUAGGAAUCGGGUGUUGUUCUUUUUAUUGACUCACUCGGCACCUUACGAGAAAUCAAAGUUUUUGGGUUCUGGGGGGAGUAUGGUCGCAAGGCUGAAACUUAAAGGAAUUGACGGAAGGGCACCACCAGGAGUGGAGCCUGCGGCUUAAUUUGACUCAACACGGGGAAACUCACCAGGUCCAGACAAAAUAAGGAUUGACAGAUUGAGAGCUCUUUCUUGAUUUUUUGGGUGGUGGUGCAUGGCCGUUCUUAGUUGGUGGAGUGAUUUGUCUGCUUAAUUGCGAUAACGAACGAGACCUUAACCUACUAAAUAGUGCUGUUAGCGUUUGCUGAUAUAGCUACUUCUUAGAGGGACUAUCGAUUUCAAGUCGAUGGAAGUUUGAGGCAAUAACAGGUCUGUGAUGCCCUUAGACGUUCUGGGCCGCACGCGCGCUACACUGACGGAGCCAACGAGUUCUAUCCUUUGCCGAGAGGUAUGGGUAAUCUUGUGAAACUCCGUCGUGC